UACGGAGGGGGCUAGCGUUGUUCGGAAUACUGGGCGUAAAGCGCACGUAGGCGGACUGUUAAGUCGGGGGGUGAAAUCCUGGGGCUCAACCUCAGAAUUGCCUCCGAUACUGGCAGUCUCGAGUGCGGGAGAGGUGAGUGGAAUUCCUGGUGUAGCGGUGGAAUGCGCAGAUAUCAGGAGGAACACCAACGGGCGAAAGGCAGCUCGCUGGGACGGUACUGAC
rnacentral:rRNA from 1 species